AUGAACGCUGGCGGCGUGCCUAAUACAUGCAAGUCGCGCGAACAGACGAGGAGCUUGCUCCUCUGACGUUAGCGGCGGACGGGUGAGUAACACGUGGAUAACCUACCUAUAAGACUGGGAUAACUUCGGGAAACCGGAGCUAAUACCGGAUAAUAUAUUGAACCGCAUGGUUCAAUAGUGAAAGACGGUUUUACUGUCACUUAUAGAUGGAUCCGCGCCGCAUUAGCUAGUUGGUAAGGUAACGGCUUACCAAGGCAACGAUGCGUAGCCGACCUGAGAGGGUGAUCGGCCUCACUGGAACUGAGACACGGUCCAGACUCCUACGGGAGGCAGCAGUAGGGAAUCUUCCGCAAUGGGCGAAAGCUUGACGGAGCAACGCCGCGUGAGUGAUGAAGGUCUUCGGAUCGUAAAACUCUGUUAUUAGGGAAGAACAAAUGUGUAAGUAACUAUGCACGUCUUGACGGUACCUAAUCAGAAAGCCACGGCUAACUACGUG
rnacentral:rRNA from 1 species